GACCGUGCCAGUGGCCUAGUGGUUAGAGCAUCCACCUUGGAUAUGGGAUGUCAAGGUUUAAAUCCUAGCUGAGUCA